ANNNNNNNNNNNNNNNNNNNNAAGUAUUAUUACCCUCGAACCAAUGAGUCAAAUUUAAGAAACAACCCACUGUUAGAAAGCUGAAUGGCUACGCUUUAAAAUGAAUGUAAACUUUAACGAUUUCGUCUAUUAUUUGUUUAGCAAUUUACAUUUCAAUCGAGGAUUGCGCUUUUUUUGAUACACCCUGUAGAUUACAUGAUAUUUGUCAAUAAAUUAAUCUUUUUAUUAACAUUUCUAUGGGUUUCUUCAGACAAAUUAUUUGUAUUUUAACAUCUAUAUUUGACAAAAAUGUCUUAGAAAAACAAAGCUGAUCCGAGCACAUAUUUCAGCCAUUAAAACAAUCCAUCAAAAAGAUAUAGCGUAUUUAUAAUAUUUAGCACAUUGAGUGGCAGCACUCUGACCCUUUGACAAGUGAAAUCGCCUGGUGUUAGCCAGAGUAAAAUACUAGUAACGUAGGGGACAUCAGAGCGCAUUGCCACUACAGGGUUAAGAAUAUCUUGAUGGUUAUUUCAACCAUAUUUCAACACAGCUUGGAAAAGCGUACUAGUUCACAAAAACCAUGCAAUUCAUGUUUAAAGACUGGUCAUGCAGAACAACUGGCAAUAGGACUCUUGUACCACACUGGGGUGUGGAAUGUAUUGGUAUUUUAUCAAGAGGUUGUACUGACGUUACGGGACAAAACUCUAUAAUGCUGCUUGGUUACGCGAGUGCAUUUCCUAAUUUUGUACUGGAUUUUUGACAUGUUUUGUCAAAAGUAUGUUUAUUGCAAAAUGUAUAAAAGUCAUAGUGCUAAAAUAAAGAGAUUUAUAACAAGAGUAUGUGGUUUUUUUGUUUUUUUUCUAAUAUUGUUGUAAACAUGGCAAAAUUUACAAUUCAAGAAACAAGAAUGUAAUUGUCCAUGCCCACAAUUUUGUUUCCCAAGGGUAGGCCCACAAUUUUUCCAGGGAGGGGGAAGGGCCCCAGGUCGGAAACAAACAUCACUAUUUAAUCCGCUGCAGGUUUACUGAGCUCAGAGCGGAUUUUAUCUAUAAGCUUAUAACCAAAUAGAUCACUUGUUUCGCUCUAUUAAUAAUCAUAUAAAAG
rnacentral:lncRNA from 1 species